rnacentral:misc_RNA from 1 species
UAGGCUUGACAUGCUAGUUAAAGCGGGUGAAAGCCCGUGUCCGUAAGGGGCUAGCACAGGUGCUGCAUGGCUGUCGUCAGCUCGUGCCGUGAGGUGUUGGCUUAAGUGCCGCAACGAGCGCAACCCCUGCUCUUAGUUGCCAGCGGGUAAUGCCGGGGACUCUAAGAGGACUGCCGGGGACAACUCGGAGGAAGGUGGGGAUGACGUUGAACGGUUGGUU